CAUAGAAAAUUAACACCAUGUGAAGGUGAAGGCAGAGACUGGGUGAUGCUUCUAUAAACCAAGAAACUCCAAGGACUGUCAGCAAACCAGCAGAAGCUAGGAGAGAGGCAUGGAACGGAUUUCUCCUCACAGCCCUCAGAAGAAACCAACCCUGUCACCAUUUUGAUCUUGGACUUUAGCCUCUGGAACUGUGAGACAAUACAUUUCUGUUUGUUUCAGCCACCUAGUUCAUAGUACUUUGAAGUGACCUUUACACCACUCUCACUUAGAGAUGAGGUCUGUGUCCCCUCCUCUUGAAAUUGAGUGGCUUUUGUGACUGUGUACACAGGUAGAGUAAACUGCAGAGCUGCCUGUCUGUGACUUCCAAGGCUAGGUCAUAAAAGGAGAUAAAGCUUCUUCCUGGCUGGUUGGGCUGCUUGCUCUUGAAGCCUUCAGUCUCUAUGCACGCAGCAUGCCUUCCCAGCCUCCUGUGGUUGUAGAGUGUAUAGAAGGCAGUUGGAUCACUAUGGACAGCGGGUAAGAGCUGAGGAAGCAGCCUCCGCCAGGUGGUAACAUGGAGGACCCUGAAGCAGGCCAAUUAAAUCAAGCAUAUUCCUCAGUAUCAUGGAGAGACUGGAGGUUAGAGACACCAAAACCAUCCCUGGCUUAAUGACUUUGGGAUCCCUGGGCCCCUCCAUGCAGCAGAACGGCAAUUAACCAAGCAAAGGAAGAGAGGGCAGCAGGGCUGAAUCCUGUCAUGGAAUGCUUCCAUCUGCAAGUGGCACAUUUCAGUGGCCAAAGCAAAUUAUGCCAUCCCUGACUUCAAGACCAUUGGCCAUUCUCUGACCAUCUCAAGCCAGAGGUGACUUGAUCUGUCACCCAGCUGUGGCCCAUGAGCAUUAUCUAAGGAGGAACAUUUUUGCUUACGUUUCCAGUGCUCUACAUAAGCCCUAGGCCCUGGGUAUAUGCAUAGGAGCGAAAUUACUGAAUAACUUACGUGAAACAUUUUGACGAACUGUCAUAUUGUUACCCAAAGUGAUUGCACUGUUUUACAAAUCAUAUUGGCAAGGUAGGAGGGUUCUAAUUUCUCCUCAUCCUCACCAGCACUCGUUAUUGCUUGUCUUUUGAAAUUACAGCCAUCCUAAUCGU
rnacentral:lncRNA from 1 species